rnacentral:rRNA from 1 species
UACGUAGGGACCAAGCGUUGUUCGGAUUUACUGGGUGUAAAGGGCGCGUAGGCGGCUUAACAAGUCACUUGUGAAAUCUCCGGGCUUAACUCGGAACGGCCAAGUGAAACUGUCAAGCUAGAGUGCAGAAGGGGCAAUCGGAAUUCUUGGUGUAGCGGUGAAAUGCGUAGAUAUCAAGAGGAACACCUGAGGUGAAGACGGGUUGCUGGGCUGACACUGACGCUGAGGCGCGAAAGCCAGGGGAGCAAACGGG